rnacentral:sRNA from 1 species
UUGUAUUUGACUUUUUAAUUCUUAAAGAGAUGAAUUAAUUUACUUUUUAAAAUUUUAUUUCUAAUGACAUACCUAUGUAAUUACUUACAAAAAAUAAGGUUACAUUUAAAAUGUACUUCCCAAAUAAUAUAGUAGGAUCUAAUAUUGUGGUUUAGACUACGUACAGUUAUAAAUUAAAACUAAUUUAAAAUAAUAAGUCAAUAAUUUGUUUAA